rnacentral:rRNA from 1 species
UGCACGAAUGGCGUAAUGAUGGCCAGGCUGUCUCCACCCGAGACUCAGUGAAAUUGAACUCGCUGUGAAGAUGCAGUGUACCCGCGGCAAGACGGAAAGACCCCGUGAACCUUUACUAUAGCUUGACACUGAACAUUGAGCCUUGAUGUGUAGGAUAGGUGGGAGGCUUUGAAGUGUGGACGCCAGUCUGCAUGGAGCCGACCUUGAAAUACCACCCUUUAAUGUUUGAUGUUCUAACGUUGGCCCGUAAUCCGGGUUGCGGACAGUGUCUGGUGGGUAGUUUGACUGGGGCGGUCUCCUCCUAAAGAGUAACGGAGGAGCACGAAGGUUGGCUAAUCCUGGUCGGACAUCAGGAGGUUAGUGCAAUGGCAUAAGCCAGCUUGACUGCGAGCGUGACGGCGCGAGCAGGUGCGAAAGCAGGUCAUAGUGAUCCGGUGGUUCUGAAUGGAAGGGCCAUCGCUCAACGGAUAAAAGGUACUCCGGGGAUAACAGGCUGAUACCGCCCAAGAGUUCAUAUCGACGGCGGUGUUUGGCACCUCGAUGUCGGCUCAUCACAUCCUGGGGCUGAAGUAGGUCCCAAGGGUAUGGCUGUUCGCCAUUUAAAGUGGUACGCGAGCUGGGUUUAGAACGUCGUGAGACAGUUCGGUCCCUAUCUGCCGUGGGCGCUGGAGAACUGAGGGGGGCUGCUCCUAGUACGAGAGGACCGGAGUGGACGCAUCACUGGUGUUCGGGUUGUCAUGCCAAUGGCACUGCCCGGUAGCUAAAUGCGGAAGAGAUAAGUGCUGAAAGCAUCUAAGCACGAAACUUGCCCCGAGAUG